UGAAGGCCUAUUUUGUCCCUGACGCUUGCUGACUGCGAUUUAAUGGACUUUCGUUAUUUUUGAUUCAACAUGGCGUUAAGAAACUCCCGAAAAGACAUGAUAUCUUCAUAUUAAAUACAGAAUGCAGUUUAAAGUUUAUAUAAGUCUUACAAGAAGGCGGCUAUACACACCUGAAGAGGACGAAAAAAUUCUUCGGUAUAUGCGAUCAAACAAAAGAGGAACAUAUACCGAAGUGUUCUGAAGAACUAUCGCGAAAGGAAAAUAUUUUUGAAAGAAGAAAUUGGCUAAGCGUGAAGAACAGGUUUAUUAUAUAUUUAAAUAACAGAGAAAACAGUAAGUA